rnacentral:rRNA from 1 species
AGAGUUUGAUCCUGGCUCAGAGCGAACGCUGGCGGCGUGCUUAACACAUGCAAGUCGUGCGCGAAAGUCCGAUUUCGAUUGGACGAUUAGAGCGGCGAACGGGUGAGUAACGCGUAGGUAACCUGCCCUUUAGACCGGCAUAACACUCCCAACGGGGUGCUAAUACCGGAUGUUAAUGUUUUAUCUUCGGACAGAAUGUUCAAAGGUGGCCUCUUUACAAUGCUACCGCUAAAGGAUGGGCCUGCGUCCUAUCAGCUUGUUGGUGAGGUAACGGCUCACCAAGGCAAAGACGGGUAGCUGGUCUGAGAGGAUGACCAGUCACACGGGGACUGAGACACGGCCCCGACUCCUACGGGAGGCAGCAGUGGGGAAUAUUGCCCAAUGGCCGAAAGGCUGAGGCAGCGACGCCGCGUGGAGGACGAAAUCCUUCGGGAUGUAAACUCCUUUUACGUGGGAAGAACCAGCGCGAUGCAAAUAGUUUCGCGCUCUGACGGUACCAUUUGAAUAAGCUCCGGCCAACUACGUGCCAGCAGCCGCGGUAAUACGUAGGGAGCGAGCGUUGCUCGGAUUCACUGGGUUUAAAGGACGCGUAGGCGGAUUAGCAAGUCGGGUGUGAAAUCUCUGGGCUUAACCUAGAAAUUGCGCUCGAUACUACUGGUCUCGAGUAGAGCAGAGGGAAACGGAAUUCCUGGUGUAACGGUGGAAUGUGUAGAUAUCAGGAGGAACGCCGAUAGCGAAAGCAGUUUCCUGGGCUCUUACUGACGCUCACGCGUGAAAGCGUGGGGAGCGAACAGGAUUAGAUAUUCUGGUAGUCCACGCUGUAAACGAUGGGUGCUAGUUGUUGGGGGGGGUUUGCCCUCAGCGACGCAGUUAACGCGCUAAGCACCCCACCUGGGGAGUACGGCCGCAAGGUUGAAACUCAAAGGAAUUGACGG